rnacentral:rRNA from 1 species
UACAGAGGUCUCAAGCGUUGUUCGGAUUCAUUGGGCGUAAAGGGUGCGUAGGCGGCGCGGUAAGUCGGGUGUGAAAUCUUGGAGCUUAACUCCGAAACUGCAUUCGAUACUGCCGUGCUUGAGGACUGGAGAGGAGACUGGAAUUUACGGUGUAGCGGUGAAAUGCGUAGAUAUCGUAAGGAAGACCAGUGGCGAAGGCGGGUCUCUGGCCCGAUACUGACGCUGAGGCACGAAAGCGUGGGGGAGCAAACAGG